AUUGAACGCUGGCGGCAGGCCUAACACAUGCCAGUCGAGCGGAUGAAGGGAGCUUGCUCCUGGAUUCAGCGGCGGACGGGUGAGUAAUGCCUAGGAAUCUGCCUGGUAGUGGGGGAUAACGUCCGGAAACGGGCGCUAAUACCGCAUACGUCCUGAGGGAGAAGGUGGGGGAUCUUCGGACCUCACGCUAUCAGAUGAGCCUAGGUCGGAUUAGCUAGUUGGUGGGGUAAAGGCCUACCAAGGCGACGAUCCGUAACUGGUCUGAGAGGAUGAUCAGUCACACUGGAACUGAGACACGGUCCAGACUCCUACGGGAGGCAGCAGUGGGGAAUAUUGGACAAUGGGCGAAAGCCUGAUCCAGCCAUGCCGCGUGUGUGAAGAAGGUCUUCGGAUUGUAAGGCACUUUAAGUUGGGAGGAAGGGCAGUAAGUUAAUACCUUGCUGUUUUGACGUUACCAACAGAAUAAGCACCGGCUAACUUCGUG
rnacentral:rRNA from 1 species